ensembl:lncRNA
AAGCCCCAGUGCAGCAUGAUCAGUAGUGAGCCGAACACUGCAUUUUCAUCUCCAUCUGGCUUGUGUGUCGAACACACAAUUGAUUCUGAAUCUGGAAAGGAAGAACGCAUCAGGGUCUUUUCCAAUGAGUCAGCUCUUCACAUCAAGUGGCCAUAGUUCCCAAUUGCAGCAAAACUGUUUGGGAAGAAGAAGUUCCUAUUACCCAGGAAAUAAAGAUUGAGGAGGAGGGCAGAAUGAGAGAAUCCAUUGGCAAUGCAGGAGACCUGGCUUCAAUCCCUGGGUGGGGAAGAUCCCCUGGAGGAGGUCAUGACAAUUCACUCCAGUAUUCUUGCCUGGAGAAUCCCAAUGGAUAGAAGAGCCUGGCAGGCUACCAUCCAUGGGGUUACAAAGAGUUGGACACAACUGAGCGACUAAGCACACAAAGAGAAAGAAACAGGAGGCGAGUGAGAAAAGAAGGGAGGGAGGUGUGGAAAGCAAGAAAAUUUUCACCACAUACACUCAAGCCAAGUGCCUUCUUUGAGGAAAACAUGACUAAGCCACAUUAAACAAUUAGUGGGAAGAACACUUCACUUGGGAUGGAGUCCAAGGCAGAACAGCAAUAGUGAUGGGCAGGAAGAGGGUGUAGUAACCAGAGUUCUGCUGUUACCCUCUCUCUAUCAAGGAGCCCAGGAUUGCUUGUCUGCUUAUCUCUCUCUCCCAACAAAUACAACCAAUUGCACUUCUUCAUUUUGCUCUGAUAAUAGGGGCCAAUGGGAAACAAUGCACCCUUGUGUUGUUCACCCCUCCCCUUGAAAUAUGCCCUUGGUUAGCCUGUUGCUGGGCAUAAUGCCUUAAUAUAAAGCGCAAAUUCCAAAGGUGAGAAAUUUGUCAAAUCAGUGCUAGGCAGUGGCAGGGACUUCGUCAGGAGAAUUUCAGUUGAAUUAAGCUUCUCAGGCUAGCACUUAUCAACUGUUUGUCUAUACCAUCCUACCAGAAACAAAACUCUUUAACUCACAGUGGGAAUUUUUGAUGGUGAGAUUCUGACAUGAGGACAUUUGUGACUUUUCCUCCAUUCGGAAAUAUUACUCCACAGCUGAGCAGUUCAGGAGAGGAUGAGUUGCAGGAAUGGGAUAAGCUCAUGACUGGAAAGGAUCCAGGAUAAGAGGCUCUGUCUCCAAAUACAGUCAUGUUGGGAGUUUAAGCUUCAACAUUUGAAUUGGUAGAAGGAGAAGACACAAUUCAGUACAUUAAGACAUCCUGACAUGGGACUUUCCAGGAGGGAGACAUCAAUUCCAAGAUGCUUCCGCAGGGACUCUCCAUCACAAGCGUGAGAGCUGCUUAACCUGAGUCAAGAGAAGGAUGGUAAACUAAAUACAGGACCUGAAAUAGUGCUUCUUCACAACCAAAGUAUGACCUCUUCCCUGAAGAAACCACGUGUUAGCAGCACAUGUUCCUCCUACCACCAGCCCACCCUACUGCCAGCCUGGUGAUAGUUGGGGGUGGAGGGAAUAACAGCAUGAAUGCCUUAGGACUGGGCUUGAAUCUUCUGUUUUGGGGGUUUGGUGGGACUUGUUUGUUGGUAUUUAUACAGUGUUAUACAGAUAACAUUCUAUUAAUUACUUAAGUUCAAUUCCCCUGGAAAUGGAAAUGAUAUCAGAAACCCAUACCUGGAGAGAAAGAAUAAUUAUUUUGUUUGGCUUUGGUAACAUCCAUGAAAGAAUCUCCUUCUUUCUCAAAGCAGUAUAUCUCAGAGGAGGCAGCCUAUGUUUCUGUGUUCAAUUAAUAUCCAGUAGAUUACUGUGAAACUCUUGGUUCUGCUGUUUAAUUUUAAAAUUCCCCUUCAAUUUUCCUCCUUCAAUUGAACUGAUGUUCAGGUAAAGCUAUGAAACAAUCCAAAGACAAAUAAAAGGAAAGACAAACAGCAGUAAGUACCAUUUGGUGGUAUCUUUCCCAUGUCAGAUCUCUGCCAAGUGCUUUACCUGCAUUGUCUUAUUUCAUCUUUCCCACCAUCCUAUGAGAUUGGCAUUAUAAUCCCCAUUCUAUAAACAGGGAAACUGACAGGGUGGGUUGUUUCCAAAAGUCCCAUUCUAGCGAGUGAUAGAGCUAGGAUUCAAGGCCUAGCUCCAAGAGGAGCCUGGUGUGCUGCAGUCUAUGGAUUCAUGGCCUUAACCACCAUGCAAAUUUUAAUAUGGAAUGUGGAAAAAGUGAAAGGGAAGAAGGGCUACAGAAGAGAACUGAAAGAUGAUACUGGGUGUCAAAAUGACUGAUCAUUCUGAAGCAAGAAGGUAAUUGAGGAAGUACUAGGAUUAAAAACUUUAAGACUAAUGAGAGAUACAGAACUGAUGAGCAAUACCCGGAUAGUUAAUGUUUAGCCUCAUCUAUAAACACUCUGAACUGCUAAAAUGCAAAUUGAAACCACAGUGAGAUACCACCUCACACCUGUCAAAAUGGCUAUUAUCAAAAAUACCACAAAAAACAAGUGUUGCCAAGGAUGUAGAGAAAAGGAAAGCCUGUUAGUGGGAAUGUAAAUUGGUACAGUUACUAAGGAAAAUGGUUUCCUUAGUAUGGAGUUUACUCAAAAAAUUAAAAAUAGAACUACCAUACAACUUAGCAGUUUCACUCCUGAGUAUUCAUCCAAAGAAAGAGAAAAUAGUAACUUGAAAAGAUAUAAACACCCCUAUGUUUAUUGCAACAUUAUUUACAAUAGCAAGACAUGGAAAUAAUCCAGGUAUCAACUGAGGGAUAAAUGAAUAAGGAAAAUAUGGCAUAUCCAUAUGGUGGAAUAUUAUUCGGCCAUAAAAAGGAGUGAAAUCUUGCCAUUUGCAACAACAUGGAUUGAUACUAACAGUAUUAUGCUAAGUGAAAUAUGCCAAACAGAGAAAGACAAAUACUGUAUCAACUCACUAAUAUGUGGAAUCUAACAAACCUGAACUCAUAGAAACAGAGAGCACACUGGUGCCUGCCAGAAGCAAUCUAGGGUGGGAGAAGUGGGUGAAGAAAGUCAAAAGGUACAAACUUAAAGUUACAAAACAAUUAAGUCAUGGGUAUAUAUAAUGUGCGUAUGGUAAUUGUAGUUAAUAAUUGUAUAUUUUAAAGUUGCUAAGAAAAUAGAUCUUAAAAGCUCUCAUAAAAAGAAAAAAAAUGUAAUUAUGUGAGAUGAGGAUGCGACAGAGAAUGAGACGGUUAGAUAGCAUCACCAACUCAAUGGACUUGAAUCUAAGCAAACUCGGGGAAUAGUAGAGGAUGGAGGAGCCUGGUGUGCUGCAAUCUAUAGAAUUGCAAAGAGUUGGACACAACUUAGCAACUAAACAACAGCAACGUAAGGUGACAUGCUAACCAGACUUAUUGUGGAGAUCAUUAUACAUGUGGCAAUGCAUACAAAUAUUGAAUCUUUGUAAAACUAAUAUAUGAAUUACAUCUCAAUAAAAAA